GGCUAGGGAAGCGGCAGAAGAGGAAGAACGAAACGUUGCACGAGUAUCUGUACGCUCUGAUGGAGUGGGCAAAGCCAAUCGAGAUGGAUGACGAAAGUUUAAUUGAAUAUUUUGUCAGCGGGAUUCCAGAUUCUAGUACAAACAAGGCUUUACUGUAUCAAGCUAGGAAUAUGAGGCAAUUGAAGGUGCAAAUUGAGGCAUACCAGAAAAUGACAGGGUCGGUGUGAUCACAAGGGAAGUUUUGACUCACACUUCAAUAAAGGAGAAAAAUAGUUAGUGAAAUCAGCGGAAAAGUUUAAAAAUUGUUUUAACUGCGGAGAUGAGUCGCAUAUUAAGCGGGAUGGUCCAAAAAGAGAUAACAGGUGUUUCAGAUGCAACCAGCUAGGACAUAGAGCUGCUCAGUGCAAGGUCGACAUGGCAAUUAAACAGGAGAAAGCAACCAAUCUAGUUCUGGAGAAUGGUAGGACAAAGCCAUCAAGCACGUUCACUUCGUCAGGAUUAGAGUUGAAAUCGGUAAACUACGGAAAAGUUGUGUUUAAAGGAUUGGUCGAUACAGGUGCAGAUUUGUGUCUUCUAAGCAGAAAUGUGUUUUUGAAGCUUGGUAGAGGAAAACUGGCAGGACGUAGUAAAUGUUUAACGGGAAUUGGUGAAAGCUAAAUUAUGACUUUCGGUAGUAUCACAAUACCUGUGCAGAUUGAUGACAUUGACUUAAUUGUAGAAUUUCACGUAAUUGCGGACGAGGACAUGGGAUUUGAUGCUAUAUUGGGUAGAACUCUUUUAGAGAGUGUGGACAUGAAGGUAACAAGAGAUGGAACAGCACUAGUCCUCAGAUCAGGAAGUCAAGUAAGUACUAGGCGCAAUGUUCCAGAACAUAGAGAUGAGAGGGAAAAUGUUAAUUCAUGUACGGAGUUGCUGAAUGAGUUUCAGAGUUUGUGUAUGGUGAACUUAGAGCAGAGUGAAGCUAUAAAUAUUGAUUUGUCACAUUUGCCCUAUUCAGAGAGAGAUCAAAUAAGAAAGAUAAUUGAGGAAUACAAGCCGAGUCGAAAUGUGCAUUGCCCUAUAGAGAUGAAAAUUGUACUAACAAAUGAUUUACCUGUGUAUCAGCAUCCUAGGCGUAUGGCUUAUAGUGAGCAGAACAUAGUAGACGAGCAGGUCAACGAGUGGUUAGCACAAAAAAUAAUAAAGCACAGUACAUCAGAAUAUGCCUCUCCGAUUGUAUUAGUACCAAAGAAGAAUGGACAGAAACGUCUAUGCUGCGAUUAUCGAAAGUUAAAUGAGAAAAUAGUGCGAGAUAACUUUCCGAUGGUACAGAUGCAGGAUGUUAUUGAGAAAUUUUGUAGUUCAGUCACAAAAGUAUACAUCAUUUGUAACGCAGAAAGGACAAUAUGAGUUCCUAUUUGUACCGUUUGGGAUUUCGAAUUCGCCUGCAAUCUUCACACGUUUCAUUGUUGCGGUAAUGAGAGAAUUGGUUCAGAAGGGUGACGCUGUAGUAUAUAUGGAUGAUAUCAUUAUACCAAGUAAGGAUGUUAAGGAAGGCUUACAGAAGUUGAAAAGAGUGCUAGAAGUGACAAGAAAGAAUGGUUUGAAGAUAAACUAGAGUAAAGGUCAAAUUUUGCAAAGUAAGGUAGAUUUCUUGGGGUAUGUUAUAGAAAAUGGUACCAUAACACCCGGUAAGGAGAAAACGUAGAAAACGAGAAAGCGUAGCAAACUUUCCGAUCCCAAAGGAUAAAAAAGCUAUACAACGAUUCAUUGGGCUGACUUCUUAUUUCAGGAAAUUCAUUGAAGGAUACGCAGUACCAAAGAAGAAUGGACAGAAACGUCUAUGCUGCGAUUAUCGAAAGUUAAAUGAGAAAAUAGUGCGAGAUAACUUUCCGAUGGUACAGAUGCAGGAUGUUAUUGAGAAAUUUUGUAGUUCAGUCACAAAAGUAUACAUCAUUUGUAACGCAGAAAGGACAAUAUGAGUUCCUAUUUGUACCGUUUGGGAUUUCGAAUUCGCCUGCAAUCUUCACACGUUUCAUUGUUGCGGUAAUGAGAGAAUUGGUUCAGAAGGGUGACGCUGUAGUAUAUAUGGAUGAUAUCAUUAUACCAAGUAAGGAUGUUAAGGAAGGCUUACAGAAGUUGAAAAGAGUGCUAGAAGUGACAAGAAAGAAUGGUUUGAAGAUAAACUAGAGUAAAGGUCAAAUUUUGCAAAGUAAGGUAGAUUUCUUGGGGUAUGUUAUAGAAAAUGGUACCAUAACACCCGGUAAGGAGAAAACACAGUGCGUAGCAAACUUUCCGAUCCCAAAGGA